AUGUAAUUGGAAUGUAUGUACAUAGGAUAUCUCUUAGAGAAUCUUCUGGACAGCAAUCUCGGGGGGAAAUGGAAAGCGUAAUUCCUCUCUCAGCUCGAGAUAUUGAGAUUGUUGCAGUUAAAAAGCUCGUAGUUGAAUUUCUGCCGUCAUGAGUUUUCUCUUUUUUUCAGUAUUAAUGCAUUAAUUAGUGUUUCAGUUUUACUUUAUUACUAAGACUGUACUUCCACUUCGGCAAAAUGUUAAAAAGGAAGUCAGAAGUUAGUAUUUGAGAUGUCAUAAUGGUUCUUUUAUGCAUAGUUCAAAAUCUAUUUUGUUGGUCAUAGGUACCAAAGUAAUGGUUAAUAGGAACAGUUGGGGGCAUUCGUAUUUAACUGUCAGAAGGUGAAAUUCUUAGAC
rnacentral:rRNA from 1 species